GGUUUUCCAGGCAAAUCCGGAAAAUCAAGGCUGAGGCGUGAUGACGAGGCACUACGGUGCUGAAGCAACAAAUGCCCUGCUUCCAGGAAAAGCCUCUAAGCAUCAGGUAACAUCAAAUCGUACCCCAAACCGACACAGGUGGUCAGGUAGAGAAUACCAAGGCGCUUGAGAGAACUCGGGUGAAGGAACUAGGCAAAAUGGUGCCGUAACUUCGGGAGAAGGCACGCUGACACGUAGGUGAAGUGAUUUACUCAUGGAGCUGAAGUCAGUCGAAGAUACCAGCUGGCUGCAACUGUUUAUUAAAAACACAGCACUGUGCAAACACGAAAGUGGACGUAUACGGUGUGACGCCUGCCCGGUGCCGGAAGGUUAAUUGAUGGGGUCAGCGCAAGCGAAGCUCCUGAUCGAAGCCCCGGUAAACGGCGGCCGUAACUAUAACGGUCCUAAGGUAGCGAAAUUCCUUGUCGGGUAAGUUCCGACCUGCACGAAUGGCGUAAUGAUGGCCAGGCUGUCUCCACCCGAGACUCAGUGAAAUUGAACUCGCUGUGAAGAUGCAGUGUACCCGCGGCAAGACGGAAAGACCCCGUGAACCUUUACUAUAGCUUGACACUGAACAUUGAGCCUUGAUGUGUAGGAUAGGUGGGAGGCUUUGAAGUGUGGACGCCAGUCUGCAUGGAGCCGACCUUGAAAUACCACCCUUUAAUGUUUGAUGUUCUAACGUGGACCCGUAAUCCGGGUUGCGGACAGUGUCUGGUGGGUAGUUUGACUGGGGCGGUCUCCUCCUAAAGAGUAACGGAGGAGCACGAAGGUUGGCUAAUCCUGGUCGGACAUCAGGAGGUUAGUGCAAUGGCAUAAGCCAGCUUGACUGCGAGCGUGACGGCGCGAGCAGGUGCGAAAGCAGGUCAUAGUGAUCCGGUGGUUCUGAAUGGAAGGGCCAUCGCUCAACGGAUAAAAGGUACUCCGGGGAUAACAGGCUGAUACCGCCCAAGAGUUCAUAUCGACGGCGGUGUUUGGCACCUCGAUGUCGGCUCAUCACAUCCUGGGGCUGAAGUAGGUCCCAAGGGUAUGGCUGUUCGCCAUUUAAAGUGGUACGCGAGCUGGGUUUAGAACGUCGUGAGACAGUUCGGUCCCUAUCUGCCGUGGGCGCUGGAGAACUGAGGGGGGCUGCUCCUAGUACGAGAGGACCGGAGUGGACGCAUCACUGGUGUUCGGGUUGUCAUGCCAAUGGCACUGCCCGGUAGCUAAAUGCGGAAGAGAUAAGUGCUGAAAGCAUCUAAGCACGAAACUUGCCCCGAGAUGAGUUCUCCCUGAGACUUAGAGUCUCCUGAAGGAACGUUGAAGACGACGACGUUGAUA
rnacentral:rRNA from 1 species